CAGUCGCCGCGGUAAUACGAAGGGUGCAAGCGUUAAUCGGAAUUACUGGGCGUAAAGCGUGCGUAGGCGGUUUGUUAAGUCUGCUGUGAAAUCCCCGGGCUCAACCUGGGAAUGGCAGUGGAUACUGGCAAGCUAGAGUGUGUCAGAGGAUGGUGGAAUUCCCGGUGUAGCGGUGAAAUGCGUAGAGAUCGGGAGGAACAUCAGUGGCGAAGGCGGCCAUCUGGGACAACACUGACGCUGAAGCACGAAAGCGUGGGGAGCAAACAGGAUUAGAUACCCGCGUAGUCCCUGUCUCUUAUAA
rnacentral:rRNA from 1 species